ensembl:lncRNA
CACCGAUGAGGCCAAGAGUUUUUACAUUGUGCUGGGCUCUUAAGUUACAUCAAAACAAAAGCUGAUGACCGAGCCGAUAACCAACAAUGAAGUUCAAGAAAGAGUUAAGAAAAUAUUUACAACAUAAACUAAGUUCAGCAUUCAACACCAUAGUGCCCACAAAGCUCUUCACUGAGCUAAGGACCCUGGGACUAAACACCUCCCUCUGCUACUGGAUCCUGGAAUUUCUGACGGUCUGCCCCCAGAUGGUACAGCUGCACCAUCGAGAGCAUCCUGACUGUUUGCAUCAACACCUGGUAUGGCAACUGCUCGGCAUCCGACCGUAAGGUGCUACAGAGGUUAGUGCGUACGGCCCAAUACAUCACUGGGGCCAAGCUUCCUGCCAUCCAGGAGCUAUAUACUAGGCGGUGUCAGUGGAAGGCUAAAACAAAUAUCAAAGACCACAGUCUAGACUGUUCUCUCUGCUACCGGAUGGCAAGCGGUACCGAAGCGCCAAGUCUAGGUCCAUGAGGCUCCUUAACAGCUUCUACUCAGCCUCAGUUCCCUGCAGACAGCCAGAUAGGGGUGCACCAGCAGGUCUCAGCCAGGCGGAGGCGCUGUGGAUCAAUGCCAAACAGGUAAUCACAGAGCUG